AGAGUUUGAUCCUGGCUCAGGACGAACGCUGGCGGCGUGCCUAACACAUGCAAGUCGAACGGAGAUUUCAGCAAUGGAAUUUUAGUGGCGAACGGGUGAGUAACGCGUAGACAACCUACCUUCUAGCUGGGGACAACACUGCGAAAGUGGUGCUAAUACCGAAUGUUGUAUAUUGAGUGCAUGCUCGAGAUACUAAAGGU
rnacentral:rRNA from 1 species